rnacentral:rRNA from 1 species
UACGAGGGGGGCAAGCGUUGUUCGGAAUUAUUGGGCGUAAAGAGCGUGUAGGCGGCCAGGUAGGUCUGCUGUGAAAACUCGAGGCUCAACCUCGAGACGUCGGCGGAAACCAUCUGGCUAGAGUCCGGAAGAGGAGAGUGGAAUUCCUGGUGUAGCGGUGAAAUGCGCAGAUAUCAGGAAGAACACCCGUGGCGAAGGCGGCUCUCUGGGACGGUACUGACGCUGAGACGCGAAAGCGUGGGGAGCGAACAGG